CCCUUAGAUGUUCUGGGCAGCACGCGCGCUACAAUGGUCUUCGCAAACGGAUGCAUUCUCGAAGGAGAAUGCCAAUCUUGGAAUCUAUGCCUUGGUCGGGACAGUUGCUUGCAAUUUUUCGACUCGAACCAGGAAUUCCUUGUAAUCGUGAUUCAUCACAUCACGAUGAAUACGUCCCUGCCCUUUGUACACACCGCCCGUCGCUCCUACCGAUCGAAGAGUUAGGUGAAUUGUUUUGAUCGAUAAGAUUUGACUAUGGUCAACUCUCGUUGUGAAAUUCUGUGAAUCUGACUGUGUAGAGGAAGGAAAAGUCGUAACA
rnacentral:rRNA from 1 species